rnacentral:lncRNA from 1 species
AAUUUGAUCCCUUAUCUUUUAAAAGUUUCAAGUUGGUCAUUUUCCUCAAAUUUUAGUUUAAAUCAUCGACUUUUCUAAUGAAUUUGCGUACGUAAACCACUUAGGAGAGUACUAUAUGAAGGUUUUAGAAAAAUUAACUCAAAAUUUAACAAAAAGUUAGAAAAAAUUAACUCAAAAUUUAACGAAAACGACCAACUUAUGUUGAGAUCAAUAACAUAAGGAACCAACUUGAAACUUUUAAAAGAUANN